AGUUUCAGAAUAGUCUAUUUUAAUAAAUUUAAAGAGGUAAUUAAAAUGGAGGAAGUUAUGGGAGGACUACCUUUUGUAUAAGGGGGUCAGGAUAAAAGGUCUAUGGAUUUUUCCCCAAUUCACAGGAGAUUCGAGUACAAUUUUGGGAGAGGUUUCAGGAUUAGUAUUAGAAGUAGUGAGAUGUUAGCGACUGUGAUAUAAGUGGAAGGAGUGAUUAGGUAAGUUAGUCAGAAAUUUCUGAGUGUUCAAAGUUAAUGGUAAGUGUUUGUCCACCAUAUUGUUCCAAUAAUACGAGAGGGUAUGGAAUUUUGAAUAUUUAGAUGAGGAAGUUGGGAGAAUUUCCUUGUGGAGAAUAUCUGGUUAUUAGUAGAUGAGUGGUAUGAGUAGGUAAAGGAUGGAAUUGUUUUGUGGACUCGGAUCAUAAGCAAAUGUUUAUUAAAAACAUUUCUCGUUAGAUGGCGAGUAUCCCCUGCCCAAUGAGAUUUUAAUGGCCGCAGUAAGUUGACUGUGCUAAGGUAGCAUAAUAAAUAGGUUGUUGAAUGUGAUCUGGUAUGAAUGGGGGAAUGACUUGUGGAAAGUUCUGAACAGUGAGUGAAAUUGUGGGUAAGUGAAAAUGCUUAUGGGUUUUAAAAGACGGAAAGACCCCGGAAGCUUUACAAUCAUAUUGUUUUGUUGGGGCAAUAUCUGAAAAAAGAAGUUUCAGAUUCGGAGUUACUCCGGGGAUAACAGGGCUAUCGUUUUACAAAAAUGGGUUGUCACCUCGAUGUUGGAUCAUCCUUGAGAAAGUCUGUUCGACUAUUGGGGGUUACGUGAUCUGAGUUAGAUCGGCGGAUCAGAAUCGGUUCUUAUCUUGUAAUAGGUUUCUGUGGUACGAAAGGGAGUAGGAGCCGUAAUGAUUAUAUU
rnacentral:rRNA from 1 species